rnacentral:rRNA from 1 species
UACGGAGGGAGCUAGCGUUGUUCGGAAUUACUGGGCGUAAAGCGCACGUAGGCGGCUUUGUAAGUUAGAGGUGAAAGCCCGGGGGCUCAACUCCGGAACUGCCUUUAAGACUGCAUCGCUUGAAUCCAGGAGAGGUGAGUGGAAUUCCGAGUGUAGAGGUGAAAUUCGUAGAUAUUCGGAAGAACACCAGUGGCGAAGGCGGCUCACUGGACCGUUGUUGACGCUGAGGUGCGAAAGCGUGGGGA